GGAUGAACCCGCGUCUGAUUAGCUAGUUGGUAAGGUAACGGCUUACCAAGGCGACGAUCAGUAGCCGACCUGAGAGGGUGAUCGGCCACAUUGGAACUGAGACACGGUCCAAACUCCUACGGGAGGCAGCAGUGGGGAAUAUUGCACAAUGGGCGAAAGCCUGAUGCAGCAACGCCGCGUGAGCGAUGAAGGCCUUCGGGUCGUAAAGCUCUGUCCUCAAGGAAGAUAAUGGCGGUACUUGAGGAGGAAGCCCCGGCUAACUACGUGCCAGCAGCCGCGGUAAUACGUAGGGGGCUAGCGUUAUCCGGAAUUACUGGGCGUAAAGGGUGCGUAGGUGGUUUCUUAAGUCAGAGGUGAAAGGCUACGGCUCAACCGUAGUAAGCCUUUGAAACUGGGAAACUUGAGUGCAGGAGAGGAGAGUGGAAUUCCUAGUGUAGCGGUGAAAUGCGUAGAUAUUAGGAGGAACACCAGUUGCGAAGGCGGC
rnacentral:rRNA from 1 species